GAGUUUGAUCGUGGCUCAGGAUGAACGCUAGCGGCAGGCCUAAUACAUGCAAGACGAGCGGUAAAUAUUUCAGCAAUGGGAUAUGAGAGCGUCGUAAGGGUGCGUAACACGUAUGCAAUCUGCCUUCAACUGGGGGAUAGCUCUCCGAAAGGAGAAUUAACACCCCAUAAGAUGAUGGUGCGGCAUCGCAUUGUUAUUAAAAUUUUUAAUGGUUGAAGAUGAGCAUGCGGAUGAUUAGCUAGUUGGUAGUGUAACGGACUACCAAGGCGAUGAUCAAUAGGGGAACUGAGAGGUUGAUCCCCCACACUGGCACUGAGAUACGGGCCAGACUCCUACGGGAGGCAGCAGUAGGGAAUAUUGGACAAUGGGUGAGAGCCUGAUCCAGCCAUGCCGCGUGCAGGAAGAAGGCCUUCU
rnacentral:rRNA from 1 species